UAAUCCAGACUCAUUAAAGGUUGAGAUUAGCAGAGAGCUGGAAGGGGAGGAAUGAAAAUCAUAGGCACAGAUAGGAAGACAGGCAGGGAGAGAGGGAGAAUGACAGUGCAUGCAUGACAUGGAUGAGCUAUGCUGCUCUGGGAUUGGUGAACAUAAAUAGCCAAGCAAUCACAGAGGAGGCAGUGAAAAUAACAAGGCUAUCGAAAAUAUGGAGAAUGAGGAAGAGCUAUGAAAAAAAGAUAGAGAAGGUGAAAUCAAAAGACUACAGAGUAGAGGCAGCGCUAACAAAGACAGAGAAGGUAUAAAAAUGGCAGAGAGUGCAGAUCAGUGAGAUUUCCAGAGAAAACAGGAAGAGAGAAGAGAGAGAAGGGGGUGAGCAGCUAGAAGCAUCAACACAGAGAAAAUACGUCAGCCAGACCAACAGCAUCAACCUGGGCACCCAUACGCUGAGAGGCCUGGAGCAACGGGCCUAUACAGGCAGCACACAGCAGGGCACAGGCCUAGCCAACGGCCCACAGGAGGGAGAGAAGACGCCCAGUCCACACUGUCAGCUGCUGUAGCCAUGAGGACUGCACGGAAGGGGAGCAUGGAGAUGCCUGCAUUUGUCCGGCAGCUGGUGAAGGAGACAGAGAAGAGGGUCAGCUCCUUCUUCAAAGGAGGGGGGCAUGGAGGGGCAGGGCACACAGACGGGGAAAGAGAGGAGGUGAUCCCCAGCCCCUACCUAGACCGUCCCAUCCUGGACAAGUUGACUGAGGAGGGAUGCUCCUGCUGGGGCCUGACCUACGCUCUGUGCAGCAUGCAGGGCUGGAGGGCAAACAUGGAGGACUACCACAACUGUGUGCCUCAGCUGGGCGCAGGGCUGACAGACUGGAGCUUCUUUGCUGUGUUUGACGGGCACGCGGGAAACAACGUGGCACAGUACGUUUCACAACACCUGCUGGAUCAGGUCCUAGCUACAGGAGGGAUCGGGCCAGAGGACCACCCUGAUCGAGUGAGAGGGAGCUUCAUAGAUGGCUUCCUACACACAGACAAACACCUGCUGACUGCAGCCCGCCGUGAGGGCUGGGAGCGGGGUGGCACCACCGUGACCUCCACACUCAUCUCACCACGAUACAUCUACUUCGCCAACUGUGGAGACUCGCGUGCCAUGCUGUGCCAGGCAGGGCAGGUGUGCUUCUCCACUGAGGACCACAAGCCCUACAGCCCUCUGGAGAGGGAGCGCAUCGAGAGCGCCGGCGGCUCCGUGUCCCUGCAGCGCAUCAACGGCUCCUUGGCCGUGUCCCGAGCCCUGGGGGACUUCAGCUACAAGGGGACAGUGAACCGGCCGCCCACCCAACAGAUGGUGUCUCCGGAGCCAGAGGUGUGUGUGGUGGAGCGGUCACCCGGGGAUGAGUUUCUGGUGCUGGCCUGUGAUGGGGUGUGGGACACGGUCUCCAACGAGGAGCUAUGUGCCUUCAUCCAGAGUCGGCUGCGCGUCUGCACUGACCUCAGAGAUGUCUGUUCCCAGGUCAUUGACCUCUGCCUCUACAAGGGCAGUCUGGACAAUAUCAGUAUCAUCUUGGUCUGCUUCCCUGGUGCCCCCCAGCUCUCAGCAGAAGCAAUACACCAGGAGGCAGAGCUGGAAGACCUGCUGGAGUCCAAAGUGGCAGAGAUUUAUGAGGAACUGAGUACUCAGGGGAAGGAGCCUGACCUGUUCUCUGUCCUCACUGUUCUGGCAAACACUGAUGUCCCAGGCUUACCACCUGGAGGCGGUCUGCAGAGCAAGUAAAUUCAUCUGAAUGCAUGGUGCUAAAAGUUCAUUACAGUACAAGAGAAGGAACUGUAUCAUCUCCGCCUAUUACGAAAAGAAAGAGGCACACAAUCCUACUACACCUAAUGGGCUUGGUGGUUCUGAGAAGCUUGUCUAGGUUCUGUCGCUUGGGAAACGUCUCUGGAAGACAGUCAAUGCCAAAAAACUGUUUUCAUUAUGUGGCAAUUCAACAAAUCACAAAUGGAAUUUUGUCUCUCAUCCCUCACGCCAAGUAAAAUCCUGAUGUAACAAGUACAAUGCAAUUUGUGAAAGCUGAAACUAUAGAUUUUAUAUUUAUACAAUAUGGGGAACAUUUUAUUUUAUAGGACCUGGCGCUUUGAAACACAGAGAUUCUGGCUCAGCAAUAUGAUUCAGUAGUUGACAAACCAUCUGAUAUACAGUGGGGAGAACAAGUAUUUGAUACACUGCCGAUUUUGCAGCUUUUCCCACUUACAAAGCAUGUAGAGGUCUGUAAUUGUUAUCAUAGGUACACUUCAACUGUGAGAG